UUUAUUGGAGAGCAAAUCUAAGAGCAGAUGGAUUAGCAAGCAAUCCAUCACUCCCCAGCUUUGCCAUUGCCAGCUGAAACGCCUUCUCUGUGCUUCAACGUUGCAGCUGGGAGACAGAUUUAUAACGUGGUCAUCUAUCUACUCUCAGCUGCCAUCCAUAAAAGUAUUUCUUUUCGAACGUGAUACACUGGGAGGAAAGUUCCAUUGUGCAAGUACAAGGAUACGAGUGCUGCGCACUUUCUCACCAGCCCAUGUCCCACGCUGUAGGACUUAUGGGAGACGGGCGUCUCCCCAGGAAGUAUUUCCCUGCCAACUUGUGUUUUGAAUGGAGAAGCAGCACUCAGGUUCUUUUAUAAUCCAUUGUCUGUGGCUGUCUCCAUUUUAUCGCAACAUUAUUAUGCUCCCUAUAUGUUUUUUUUUUAAAAAAAUCUGAUUCAUUUGCCCAGCCCGUAAUGCAAGUCACUGGCCUGCCUUGGGAAGCCUUGCUGCUCCAGGAAGUUCUUUGCUUAUGGAAGGCAGCCCAUCGUCUGCCGCCGCUGACUGAGUGCUGUUGGCACGUGGAUAUAAGUAAUGGGGAUCUGUUGGAGGGAUCCUGACAAAAACAUGCCAGAGUUUGCAGCUUCCUGGGGGUGGUUUGUCCCUACGUUCACCUGGUGUGCAACCUGCCAGGUUUGCGUUUUCCCUGCGAGGGGGUUCUCCUCUCUUGGGCCUGGCUUAUAGUCACGCACAGCCCUUUGGUGUCAGUGCAGCUCAAAGGCCUAGACGCACAAAAGCACCACAAAAGAAACCAAAACAAACACAGGAGAUUGUACAUAGCAAACCCAUCUGCAAGUGAAGAGCUGGAGGGUAAUGUGGCUGCAACAAGAGUAGGGAUGACUAGUCACCCCUGCGCAAGGAGGGUGUUGUAGCAGCAAACGGGCAUGCGUGGGCAGUCCAGCUGCUGUGUCAGCUUUUGGCAGAAAAUGCAGAUAUGGUCCUGGGGUAUCUUGAGAGGCAGCACAACUGUAACUGCAUCACUUGGGGAGCAAGGAGCUAGGAUUGAAUUUGAGGGCUCAUUGUAAGUCAGCUGUCCCACAAGAAUUUCACAAGCCAAAAAUGACAAUAGAAAAACCUUUCUCUAACGGUUACCUCUCCACCCUGCUUCUCUUGCAAUCUCCAGGCCAUUCAUGAUGUGCAUCCCUUAGUCAAUGCUUUCACAGACUCCUGGUGCUCUGCUGGACCUUGCGAUUCAGUCAGCAUCUCUCCUGCUGACAUCAACCACUCAGGCAUUGGGAUAAGGCAAAGUUUGCCCGCCUGAGCUGCGGUAGAAGAGGAACCAAAGGACUUCGAUCAACUGGAUACUCAAGGUGCUCUGGGAGCUUCUGUUGGCUAUUUCUACCUUCAAAGCCCCCUGAAUGCAGAAGAGGCCUUCAUCACCUCCAUGUUCACCCACACACGCUCUUCAUCAAUGCCAUACUGAAUGUUAAACUGCUGCUGUGAAGCCAUCUCGAAGAGAAAUUUGAAAUGAGACUGAGGCUCCCUGUGUCCUUGAUUGCCUGCAAGCCUCUAGCCUUCAUACGAAGGAUGGUGAAGGGUGAACACUGACCUCCCUUUUCCAGGGGAGCCAGUACACAUGAAAUGUUUUCUUCACGAUGUGCUUUCUCCCGAGCUGGGGAAUAACCUUGGAUCAGGAUUUCCCUCGUUGGCUCCCCCAGGGCUUCCUCCUGCCUCGGCUUGCCUAGACCUUAUCUAAGAACGUUUGAGGUUGGAAGGGGCCUCUGGAGUUCAUCUGGUCCAACCUCCUUGCUCAAGUAUGGCUACCUAGAACAGGCUGCCCAAGACCAUGUCCAGCUGGCUUUUGACUAUCUCCAGUGAUGGAGACUCCACAACUUUUCUGGCAACCUGUCCCAGCGCUUGGUCACCCUCACAGUAAAAAAGUGUUUGCUGAUGUUCAAGCAGAACCUCCUGUGUUUCAGUUUGCGCCCAUUGCCUCUGGUCCCGUCACUGGCCACCACUGCAAAGAGCCUGGCUCCAUCUUCUUGGCACCCUUCCUUCAGACUGGAUCAGAGGUAAGAGAACAACAGACAAGUCAACACUAGUACACCUCAGACAAUUAAACAAGGAGAAAGCACCCCCACAACCAGACAAAAGCAAAACGAACACAAGCACAGGAGAAGAAGACAGUGCGACGGCAGACUUUACAGACAACCGAGCUGCGAGCGACAGUAGCAACCUCACUUGGACAGAGGAACAAGAGACCACAAAGUCAGACGUUGUUGACAUUGCAAUCAAACAAUAGGAGGCCACUGGCAGAGUCAAGGAAUCCAUGGAAGAAACCAGCAGUUUCUGAUAAUAUUCAUCAUCCUUUCGUUCUGGAUGUUUUCCCCAUUUAAGCACAAGCCCUCUCAAUACAAAAUGAUCGAUGAAGGACAAAUGAUUGGGAUUCAGGGCUACCACCUUAAAUUCUUGGGGCUAGUGCCUCCCUCCCUUAUUCCUCUCAAUAAAAAUCUCUCUCUUCCCACUGCAGCCAGCAGGGCUACUGCUGACUGCUGCCCAGCAUGUGCAAAAGCAAUGCAGUCUGGGUGCAUUCAUUUGCUUUUCUCCCCCAGCAGAACAUGACUGCUCCAGGAAUCGGAUACCACUGUGCCGUCUAGGUACACACGGGCUUUAUCAACUCCUUCGGGCAACUCUGACUGGAAGCGAAGGAGGUCUUGGGAUGUGGAGGUUGGUUUCAGACACUUGCUAGCUACCUCGAAACCCACACCUAAGCUGCGACCAGGGGAAGCGAAGGCAAAACCAUGUUAGAGCUUCCUCGUACUUUGAUUCAACCCAUUAUUGGGACGUUUGAUGCCGUAGACGAGUUUGGCUUCAGGCCCACGCCUCUCUGUGUUCCUCAAGCCAAGCCCAACCUGCUGCUGAAGUGCUAUUCCAGCUUGGAGCAGUAGCGGGAGGAGAUAUGUGGCUGUUUACGUGCAGGAAGAGUGGGACUGUUAACAGGACCCUCUCGCUGCACUGUUUCUCAGGGUGGUAUUAACCAGCGCCCCAGGCUCUCACCCUCUAAAAAGAGGGGCAGAGUAGCUCCUUUCCUCCCAGGCAAGGGGGGGGGGUCGUGCUUAUGCAGCAGAGGGGUAUGAUCAGGGUGCAAGUCAGAUCUAACACCAUUCAGCUCGAUACGCUUCUCCCCGCACACCAGGAGGGACUCCUCUCUAGCAUUAGUGAAGAAUAACAGCACUGACAUCAGCAAGGUACCACCAAUAUAAAAGUGGCGUAACCCAGCCGGCACCAGCCCUGUUAAAUGGACUAAUACCUUAUAGUGCUGUUCCCCUGGUACUAAGAUUUCUUGGAUCGCUUAAGGCAGGUUUCAGGGUAUAGCAAUGCAAACGACAAAUCAGUUAUAUAUUCCCAGGCCUUCCUUCCCCCCCAGCAACUCCCCAAAACAUGAACCAAAGCAAAAGAGACACUGUGCCUUCACGACCAGCUGGCAGCAGUCCCCAUCCAAACCUGUGACCAGCCAAGCCAUUCUAGCAACGGAAGGAACAGAGCACAGCAAAACCAAGCCAAAGGACCAAAGAAACGGGGGACUUGAGCUCCUGGAUGAGAAACUCUGCAUCUUCUUCAUGUUGUCCCACCUCCGUACCCUCGGCCAACAUUCCCCAGAGGGUAGCUGGAUGUGCAGGACAGCCGUGAAUGCCAGGGAAAGGGGGGUUGAAAGUAUAAUGCAAAUCUCUUUUCUCUUUUUUGUUUGUUUUUGUUUGUCUGCUUUUUACAUAUAUACACAAGUCUGACAAUAAAAUGUGGAACACA